AAGUCGUAACAAGGUAACCGUAGGUGAACCUGCGGUUGGAUCAUUAAAUUGAAAAAAAAAGAAAAAAGAAAGAAGAAAUUCUCUCUUUUUUAUUUUUAAACAUUUUAGAGAUAAUUGAAUGUUUUUUGUGGAAUAGAGAAAAGAGUAAAGAUUCUUUUUUUUCUCUCUAAUUCCACAAAUUUUAAUAAUUAAACCAAUUUUAUAAUUUUAUUUAAAAAAAAGAAAAAAAAACAACUUUUGACAACGGAUCUCUUGGCUCUC
rnacentral:misc_RNA from 1 species